rnacentral:lncRNA from 1 species
GUCACUGAGUAACUAGAUAGGGGAUGGGAGAAAGCAUAUAUUUAUAAAAGUGCUCCAGCGGAUGGAUUAGUAAGUGAAAAAGAAAUGACAGAACGAGAAUAUCACCAUUUGGCAGCCCCCUUUGGAUGAAUUCAUCUCAGCAUCCAGCAUCAGCAGCUGCUGUGACCACAAAAAGAGAGACAAGGCAGACAUCACAUGGCUCGAUGAGAGAGCAAACGGGCACCCAGAACCCUGCCCAGGAUCAAACCCGAGCUGGCCCAGCCUCUGCACCCAAGCUGCCCGUGUGCAGGAAACACAGAGACGGGCCGGUGACCUGCCCAGCAGUGUGCAGUCAGCAAAGUCCCCUGCCAGGAGGCGUGCCGGUCAAAUUCUCAGAGAAGCUGUAAGCAAAGAAAGGUGGAGGGGGAGCCACAGCAUAAGGGACUUAAGAGACGCGUCAGAUUUGCAGGCAGGCGGUGCCACACUGUCAUGUCUGAGACGCCACGGAGGCGAUGAGCCUACAGGGAAACAAGGAUGCGAUUCCUCUGAAAGUCAGGGUAUGAAGAGGAAGGAACACGGACCAGGAUGGCGCCGAGCGAGGGGCCUUGGGGUGGCUGGCGGUGUCCUGUUUCCCAGCCUGGAGGGUGGCAGCUAAGGUGUUCACCUUACACCUCUUCAUUAAGCUCUGAUCACUUGGUGUGGUUUUCUGAACCUGUGUUUUAUUUUAUGACGGAAAAGUUGAAAGAGAAGAAGAAAAUAAGAAUAGCAAUUUUAAAAUUCACAUAUUAUGAAUGCCAUAAAGGGCUUUGAGAGUCAAGAGCAGUUUGCAUCAAGCAGCAGCACAAUGGCACAAAGGAGAGCCCGACCUGGGAGCUGCCCCUGGGGUCCGAAUCCCUGCGUGGCCUCUCACCAGCUGUGCGGCCUAGGCAAGUCAGCCUCUUUGAGUCCUGAUUCCUCACCUGUAAAAUGGAUGUCAUUAUGGUCUCUACCUCACGUGUCCUCCUGCGGGUUCAAACAAGGUGACACACUGAACGUUUAGAACAUUGCAGGCACACAGUGAGCGCUCAAUGCCUGUCGGCAUCCUAUUUCUUCCUGUUUCUGAAAACAUGCCUUUCUCUCCUAGUGGUUCUUCUCACACACUGCAGCUGUCUCUCUUUCUUAAAAAUCCCUGAUGGCGUGGGUGGGGGUGGGAACACGGUGCCUCUCCUGUCCUUCUGCCCUUGUUCCCCAUUCUGUUUGAAGACCCUGGAGGAGCUGUCUGGCGAGGCAGGGAUGGAAACGUCCCAGGCGGGCAGAGUCAGAACCUUUCAGUGGUGAGAGAGGAGAGAAGGGACUUUCCUCGUCUGCCACUGGAUCCCAGUGUCUAGAGCAUUGGUGGAGCUUUGGAACCUGGCAUGUGGUUACACCUACAGCACAGCUCGGUCCAGAGUAGCCACACUCCAAGAGCUCAGUGGACGCCUGGGCUAACGGCUGUGGUGCUGGAUGGUGCAGCUUCGGGCAACAGAGGUGCACGCUGUGAGAGACAGAUUUCCACUUCUGGAAAACAAAAU